rnacentral:rRNA from 1 species
AGACGAACCGGACAAACGUUAUUCGGAAUCAUUGGGCUUAAAGGGUGCGUAGGCGGUGCGGAAAGUUGGGUGUGAAAUCCCUCGGCUCAACCGAGGAACUGCGCUCAAAACUUCCGUGCUAGAGUGAGACAGAGGUGAGCGGAACUGAUGGUGGAGCGGUGAAAUGCGUUGAUAUCAUCAGGAACACCGGUGGCGAGGCGGCUCACUGGGUCUCUACUGACGCUGAGGCACGAAAGCUAAGGUAGCGAACAGGAUUAGAUACCCCAGUAGUCC